rnacentral:tRNA from 1 species
AGUUAAACACUUUAUUGAAAGAAUUAUGUUUUGAAAACAUAAACCAAGAGGUUAGACUCCUCUAUUAACUU